UAGGGAAUCUUCCGCAAUGGGCGAAAGCCUGACGGAGCAACGCCGCGUGAGUGAAGAAGGUCUUCGGAUCGUAAAACUCUGUUAUUAGGGAAGAACAAAUGUGUAAGUAACUAUGCACGUCUUGACGGUACCUAAUCAGAAAGCCACGGCUAACUACGUGCAAGCAGCCGCGGUAAUACGUAGGUGGCAAGCGUUAUCCGGAAUUAUUGGGCGUAAAGCGCGCGUAGGCGGUUUUUUAAGUCUGAUGUGAAAGCCCACGGCUCAACCGUGGAGGGUCAUUGGAAACUGGAAAACUUGAGUGCAGAAGAGGAAAGUGGAAUUCCAUGUGUAGCGGUGAAAUGCGCAGAGAUAUGGAGGAACACCAGUGGCGAAGGCGACUUUCUGGUCUGUAACUGACGCUGAUGUGCGAAAGCGUGGGGAUCAAACA
rnacentral:rRNA from 1 species